rnacentral:rRNA from 1 species
AGCUAGUAGGUGGGGUAACGGCUCACCUAGGCGACGAUCCCUAGCUGGUCUGAGAGGAUGACCAGCCACACUGGAACUGAGACACGGUCCAGACUCCUACGGGAGGCAGCAUG